UCCUUCAUCUUCCUGGUUUCCCCUUCCCGAUCAGCUCCGAUUGAGGCCUCCCUUAACCGCAUCGCACGUCUACCCCUCUGCCCUGCCGGCUAUUUCACCGCCAUUGCCACCACCGAUCAAGACGGUGGUGCCUGAUCCCCUGACCUAGAUUCCUGUAGCUUUCAUCUGGUUACCUACGUGGGCUUUCAGUUUUGGAUUGUCGAGAAUGGCACUGUUCUUGGCUUUGGGGGAUUUGCACAUACCACACAGGGCCCUUGAUCUGCCAGCAAAGUUCAAAUCCAUGCUUGUCCCUGGCAAAAUCCAGCACAUCAUUUGCACAGGAAAUUUGUGCAUCAAAGUAUGUCUGUCUUUCUUUUUUUCUAAAACAAAGCAUGUCUUUGUUAUUGACCUUAUCCAUAUUAGACUUAGCUUAUGUGUGCCUGUGUGUUUUCAACUUUUUGCCCUUUUUAGUGGAGGUCCUUCAUGACAUCUGCUUGUGACCACAACAAUAUCCUCCUCGUAAUUGCCAUAGACAAUCUCAAUCACUAGAUAAAGUAUAUCUUUAAAAUAUCUUUAUGCAUCCCAAUUGUAUAUGAAGCUAUAGGACUUUCUUUGAUGGACAAUCUUGUAGUUCUCAAUUACAUAGUUGUCCCACUUGUUGAUCUAAUUAAUCCCUUUAUUGCCCCCUA